rnacentral:rRNA from 1 species
UACGGAGGGUGCAAGCGUUAUCCGGAUUCACUGGGUUUAAAGGGUGCGUAGGUUGAUAGGUAGGUCAGUGGUGAAAUACUCCGACUCAAUCGGAGAACUGCCGUUGAUACUAUCUAUCUUGAAUACGGUGGAGGCGGGCAGAAUGCGUCAUGUAGUGGUGAAAUACUUAGAUAUGACGCAGAAUACCCAUUGCGAAGGCAGCUCGCUACGCCGGCAUUGACACUGAGGCACGAAAGCGUGGGGAUCAAACAGG